rnacentral:rRNA from 1 species
GUCGAUGGCCAUACCACCCUGAACAUGCCUGAUCACUUUGGAUCUUGGAAGCUAAGCAGUAUCAGGCCUGGUUAGUCCUUGGAA